GAUGAACGCUAGCUACAGGCUUAACACAUGCAAGUCGAGGGGAAACGGCAUUGAGUGCUUGCACUCUUUGGACGUCGACCGGCGCACGGGUGAGUAACGCGUAUCCAACCUUCCCAUUACUGUGGGAUAACCUGCCGAAAGGCAGACUAAUACCGCAUGGUCUUCGAUGACGGCAUCAGAUUUGAAGUAAAGAUUUAUCGGUAAUGGAUGGGGAUGCGUCUGAUUAGCUUGUUGGCGGGGUAACGGCCCACCAAGGCAACGAUCAGUAGGGGUUCUGAGAGGAAGGUCCCCCACAUUGGAACUGAGACACGGUCCAAACUCCUACGGGAGGCAGCAGUGAGGAAUAUUGGUCAAUGGACGGAAGUCUGAACCAGCCAAGUAGCGUGCAGGAUGACGGCCCUAUGGGUUGUAAACUGCUUUUGUAUGGGGAUAAAGUUGGGGACGUGUCCCUAUUUGCAGGUACCAUACGAAUAAGGACCGGCUAAUUCCGUGCCAGCAGCCGCGGUAAUACGGAAGGUCCAGGCGUUAUCCGGAUUUAUUGGGUUUAAAGGGAGCGUAGGCUGGAGAUUAAGUGUGUUGUGAAAUGUAGACGCUCAACGUCUGAAUUGCAGCGCAUACUGGUUUCCUUGAGUACGCACAACGUUGGCGGAAUUCGUCGUGUAGCGGUGAAAUGCUUAGAUAUGACGAAGAACUCCGAUUGCGAAGGCAGCUGACGGGAGCGCAACUGACGCUUAAGCUCGAAGGUGCGGGUAUCAAACAGG
rnacentral:rRNA from 1 species